AAGGAGAAAAGGAAAGAAAUUCGACAUGUGUAACAUAAAGAGAAAGGGGGCGAAUGAGAAAAAAGUUUAUUAUUUUCAUUUCUUUUUAUUAUUUGUUUAUGGUUUAACGUUUCUUUUUUCGUGAGUUUAAAUUUUUAUAAUCUAUAU
rnacentral:ribozyme from 1 species